rnacentral:rRNA from 1 species
CCGUAAGGCCUCGCGCAGUCGGAUGAGCCGAUGUCGGAUUAGCUAGUUGGCGGGGUAAAAGCCCACCAAGGCGACGAUCCGUAGCUGGUCUGAGAGGAUGAUCAGCCACACUGGGACUGAGACACGGCCCAGACUCCUACGGGAGGCAGCAGUGGGGAAUAUUGGACAAUGGGGGCAACCCUGAUCCAGCAAUGCCGCGUGUGUGAAGAAGGCCUUCGGGUUGUAAAGCACUUUUAUCUGGAACGAAACACGCAGGGUGAAUAUCCCUGCGGACUGACGGUACCAGAGGAAUAAGCACCGGCUAACUUCGUGCCAGCAGCCGCGGUAAUACGAAGGGUGCAAGCGUUACUCGGAAUUACUGGGCGUAAAGCGUGCGUAGGUGGUUUCUUAAGUCUGCUGUGAAAGCCCCGGGCUCAACCUGGGAAUUGCAGUGGAUACUGGGAAGCUAGAGUGCGGUAGAGGGUAGUGGAAUUCCCGGUGUAGCGGUGAAAUGCGUAGAGAUCGGGAGGAACACCAGUGGCGAAGGCGGCUACCUGGACC